ACAACGGCCCUUUUCAGGGCCACCCACCCGGCCGGAGAAAGAGCUG
rfam:Alligator mississippiensis ScZkoYb_2004.1, whole genome shotgun sequence.